rnacentral:rRNA from 1 species
GUGGGGAAUAUUGGACAAUGGGCGAAAGCCUGAUCCAGCCAUGCCGCGUGUGUGAAGAAGGUCUUCGGAUUGUAAAGCACUUUAAGUUGGGAGGAAGGGCAGUAAGUUAAUACCUUGCUGUUUUGACGUUACCGACAGAAUAAGCACCGGCUAACUUCGUGCCAGCAGCCGCGGUAAUACGAAGGGUGCAAGCGUCAAUCGGAAUUACUGGGCGUAAAGUGCGCGUAGGUGGUUUUGUAAGUUGGAGGUGAAAUCCCCGGGCUCAACCUGGGAACUGCCUCCAAAACUGCAUGACUAGAGUACGGUAGAGGGUAGUGGAAUUUCCUGUGUAGCGGUGAAAUGCGUAGAUAUAGGAAGGAACACCAGUGGCGAAGGCGACUACCUGGACUGAUAAUGACACUGAGGUGCGAAAUCGUGGAGAGCAAACAGGAUUAGAAACCCCGGUAGUCC